GACGAACGCUGGCGGCGUGCUUAACACAUGCAAGUCGAACGGAAAGGCCCUGCUUGCAGGGUACUCGAGUGGCGAACGGGUGAGUAACACGUGGGUGAUCUGCCCUGCACUUCGGGAUAAGCCUGGGAAACUGGGUCUAAUACCGGAUAGGAGCCAUUUUUAGUGUGAUGGUUGGAAAGUUUUUUCGGUGUAGGAUGAGCUCGCGGCCUAUCAGCUUGUUGGUGGGGUAAUGGCCUACCAAGGCGGCGACGGGUAGCCGGCCUGAGAGGGUGGACGGCCACCUUGGGACUGAGAGACGGCCCAGACUCCUACGGGAGGCAGCAGGGGGGAAUAUUGCACAAUGGGCGCAAGCCGGAUGCAGCGACGCCGCGUGGGGGAUGACGGCCUUCGGGUUGUAAACUCCUUUCGCUAGGGACGAAGCUUUUUGUGACGGUACCUAGAUAAGAAGCACCGGCUAACUACGUG
rnacentral:rRNA from 1 species